GGCAAAAAUGGCUACGGCGGCGGCGGAGAUGGUCGCCGAGGCCAGGAAAUGGCUAGAGAGCCUCCGUGUCAUGGGCAACCACGGCGUCUCCGGCGGCCCCUUCGACUUCCUCCACAUAUUUCCGCUAUCAGUCUCGCUGGUCGAGGCCGGCUGCGCCCUCUGCACCUACUGCGUCCCCGCCCACGCCGCCGACGCUGAUGGCAACUGGGAAUCGGG
rnacentral:misc_RNA from 1 species